rnacentral:lncRNA from 1 species
UUUUUUUUUUUUUUUUCUCUCUCCUUUCCCCUCCCCUCCUCUCUCUCCGUCUCUCUCCCUCCCUCCUCUCCCUCCCUCCCUUCCCUUCCCUCCCUUCCCUCCCUCCCUUUCAUGCCACCCCUCGCAGCCGCCCAUUGUUGCUGCCGGGGCGCUGGCAGCCGGGGGGCAGUUUGUGGCACGGGCGGAGGAGCGGGAGAAGCCGCCGCCGCCGCCGGUUGCUAGGUAAGGACCGCCUUCCCCUCCUCUCCCCGGGCCUUGUGCGAGGGCCAGACGUGCCACCCCGGCUCCCUCAAGUGCCUUCUUGCCUGCCUUUUCCAGGAGACCCAGGAGCUGCAAGGUGAACGCCGACCACCGCCGCCGCUCCCCGCCCGCCGUGUGGUGUCCCCGCCGCCGUGUGGUGUCCCCGCCGCCGUGUGGUGUCCCCCCGCCGUGUGUCCCCCCCCGCCGCCGCCACGGCCUGAGCGGUUUGAAUUUUGCUGUGCCGUAUCUCUGGAAACAAAGGAUCUCAUCCAAAGGCCUCUGAAGGCCAUGGGGGUUUUUCCAUCAACUUCAAAUGGGAUUUGGAUUAAGCCUAUAUACAUAAUAGUCUGCAAUAAUGAUCUGACUGCUAUAGUGGGUUUCAGGGUCUUCCACAAAACUUUUCAAAACUCAUAAAAAUUAUCCAGUCAUGAUACUCCAAAAUAAGCACUGAAUACUCCUAAGCAUUGAUCAGGUUUUGUUGUUCUGGUUUGGAAAAAAAGCAGGGGGCAUUCUCACCGAUGCUCCAAAUGAAAGUUUUAUGAAUAAAAAGAAAGAGUGAAUGUUGGUUCCA